rnacentral:rRNA from 1 species
UAGGGAAUCUUCCGCAAUGGACGCAAGUCUGACGGAGCAACGCCGCGUGAGUGAAGAAGGAUUUCGGUUCGUAAAACUCUGUUGUUAGAGAAGAACAGCGCAUAGAGUAACUGUUAUGCGUGUGACGGUAUCUAACCAGAAAGCCACGGCUAACUACGUGCCAGCAGCCGCGGUAAUACGUAGGUGGCAAGCGUUGUCCGGAUUUAUUGGGCGUAAAGCGAGCGCAGGCGGUCAAUUAAGUCUGAUGUGAAAGCCCCCGGCUCAACCGGGGAGGGUCAUUGGAAACUGGUUGACUUGAGUGCAGAAGAGGAGAGUGGAAUUCCAUGUGUAGCGGUGAAAUGCGUAGAUAUAUAGAGGAACACCAGUGGAGAGGGCGACUCUCUAGUCUGUAACUGACGCUGAGGCUCGAAAGCGUAGGUAGCAAACAGG